GAGUAAUGGAAGGAUCCGUAAUUGAGAAAUGAAACCCAUUUCCAAAUAAUUAAAACCCUAAAAGUUGUUUGCGACUCAAUUCUACGGAUCAAGCCGAGGAGGCGGCAGUGAAGAAUCUCUUUAUCGUUUUUUCAUUGGAAUAAGAUCAAAUCUCGAGUGAUGAAACUAAUCUCAAUCCUAGAGGUUUGCUUUGCUUCUCAACUGCCGUUGUUUGAUCCGGUGGCUGUUGGCUUGGAUAGAGGAACAAACACUUGACUAGCUUGAUUUCUUUGUUGGGUCUCCCCGAUAUGAUAUGGUUUUGAAGGAUGGACUAGUUUCACAACCAAAUUUGUCAUCUUAAUCUCAUUUGCGAGUUUCAAGCCAACCACAUGAGAUUAUUUGCACAUUGCCAAACAGUACGGGGCUGAAUGCUUCUACUGCUGCUGCCAAUCUAUCUAAAGAGAAGGACCAGAUGUUUGCCUCCAGUAGAUUUUCUGAAGACAAUGUAGACAAUGAAGCUCUUUGCAUUGCUGCAAACACUGAACGUGAUGGAAGUGGUUAUGUGAUACAAAAUCAUGGAAACAAAAAGAGUCAAAACCUAUAAAAAAACAUAUCUAUAUUAGCCUGUAAUGUCUCAGUUAAUGCGAAGCUGCUUGCGAUGUAAGUUUAUCUUUCUUCUCACUUUUGGGACCAACAGAUAAAAGUGACAUUAUUUUUUAGUCAUGAUUUUUCUUUAUGCUGAGGAACCCUUGAAGGAGAUGAUGUUAUGUUACUUGACAUACCUCAACAAGUCAGAGAGGCAGAUAAGGAUAAGAAGACGAAGGGAUAGAAGAAUCAGUAAGAGACAUGUCGAAUGGAUGAUAUUAAGAAGAAAUAGAGAAGGAAGGAAGAGAUAAUAUGUCGGUUUUAGUUUUUUUUUUUUUUUGGGUAAAUAACCUUUUAUCGUAUGUACUUUUUUUUUGAGUCUAAGCAUUGUCAUUUUUCCUUUUUUUAAGUAACCAACAAUUUGGUUUCUCCAUUAUAAUAUUCAUUUGGUAAUAUA